UCAUGGAGGUAGAGCACUGUUUGGACUAGGGGCCCUUCUCGGGUUACCGAAUUCAGAUAAACUCCGAAUGCCAUGUACUUAUACUCGGGAGUCAGACUGCGAGUGAUAAGAUCCGUAGUCGAAAGGGAAACAGCCCAGACCACCAGUUAAGGUCCCCAAAUAUAUGUUAAGUGGAAAAGGAUGUGGGGUUGCUUAGACAACCAGGAUGUUGGCUUAGAAGCAGCCACCAUUGAAAGAGUGCGUAAUAGCUCACUGGUCGAGUGACCCCGCGCCGAAAAUGUACCGGGGCUAAACAUAUUACCGAAACUGUGGAUGAACCUCUUUAGAGGUUCGUGGUAGGAGAGCGUUCUAAGGGCGGUGAAGUCAGACCGGAAGGACUGGUGGAGCGCUUAGAAGUGAGAAUGCCGGUAUGAGUAGCGAAAGAAGGGUGAGAAUCCCUUCCACCGAAUAUCUAAGGUUUCCUGAGGAAGGCUCGUCCGCUCAGGGUUAGUCGGGACCUAAGCCGAGGCCGAUAGGCGUAGGCGAUGGACAACAGGUAGAGAUUCCUGUACCAGUGCUAAUUGUUUAACCGAUGGGGUGACACAGAAGGAUAGGGAAUCGCACGAAUGGAAAUGUGCGUCCAAGCAGUGAGUGUGAGAAGUAGGCAAAUCCGCUUCUCGCGAAGCAUGAGCUGUGAUGGGGAAGGAAAUUAAGUACGGAAGUUCCUGAUUUCACGCUGUCAAGAAAAGCCUCUAGGAAGAGUAGUACUGCCCGUACCGCAAACCGACACAGGUAGAUGAGGAGAGAAUCCUAAGGUGAGCGAGAGAACUCUCGUUAAGGAACUCGGCAAAAUGACCCCGUAACUUCGGGAGAAGGGGUGCUCUAUUAGGGUGCAAGCCCGAGAGAGCCGCAGUGAAUAGGCCCAGGCGACUGUUUAGCAAAAACACAGGUCUCUGCAAAACCGUAAGGUGACGUAUAGGGGCUGACGCCUGCCCGGUGCUGGAAGGUUAAGAGGAGUGCUUAGCUUCGGCGAAGGUACGAAUUGAAGCCCCAGUAAACGGCGGCCGUAACUAUAACGGUCCUAAGGUAGCGAAAUUCCUUGUCGGGUAAGUUCCGACCCGCACGAAAGGCGCAACGAUCUGGGCACUGUCUCAACGAGAGACUCGGUGAAAUUAUAGUACCUGUGAAGAUGCAGGUUACCCGCGACAGGACGGAAAGACCCCGUGGAGCUUUACUGCAACCUGAUAUGGAAUGUUUGUACCGCUUGUACAGGAUAGGUAGGAGCCGAAGAGACGUGUGCGCUAGCAUACGAGGAGGCAAUGGUGGGAUACUACCCUGGCUGUAUGACCAUUCUAACCCGCCACGCUUAGCGCGUGGGGAGACAGUGUCAGGUGGGCAGUUUGACUGGGGCGGUCGCCUCCUAAAGAGUAACGGAGGCGCCCAAAGGUUCCCUCAGAAUGGAUGGAAAUCAUUCGCAGAGUGUAAAGGCACAAGGGAGCUUGACUGCGAGACUGACAAGUCGAGCAGGGACGAAAGUCGGGCUUAGUGAUCCGGUGGUUCCGCAUGGAAGGGCCAUCGCUCAACGGAUAAAAGCUACCCCGGGGAUAACAGGCUUAUCUCCCCCAAGAGUCCACAUCGACGGGGAGGUUUGGCACCUCGAUGUCGGCUCGUCGCAUCCUGGGGCUGUAGUCGGUCCCAAGGGUUGGGCUGUUCGCCCAUUAAAGCGGCACGCGAGCUGGGUUCAGAACGUCGUGAGACAGUUCGGUCCCUAUCCGUCGCGGGCGCAGGAAAUUUGAGAGGAGCUGUCCUUAGUACGAGAGGACCGGGAUGGACACACCGCUGGUGUACCAGUUGUUCCGCCAGGAGCAUCGCUGGGUAGCUAUGUGUGGCAGGGAUAAACGCUGAAAGCAUCUAAGCGUGAAGCCCCCCUCAAGAUGAGAUUUCCCAUUUCUUCGGAAAGUAAGAUCCCUGAAAGAUGAUCAGGUAGAUAGGUUUGGAGUGGAAGUGUAGCGAUACAUGGAGCGGACAAAUACUAAUCGAUCGAGGACUUAACCAAAA
rnacentral:rRNA from 1 species